AGUGAUGUUAACACAUAGACUGUAUAUAAAAAGUGCUAACACAGCAUAUCAUUAGCGAACACUCCAGCCGGUCAGUUUUUGGUUGUCAUGGUAAUGUAUUAUGUCCGACUAUUAACCACACCCCCAUUCUCUGUUUGAGAAAGAACGUUAACCAAAAACGGCAGUUAAAACUGGCUGGAGGGGCUUUAAGUACACAAGGUAAUUGUUCUGAACUUCAGUAUUUUCUUUUCAUGCCACUUUCUACGUCUACUUCACUACAUCUUGAAGGGAAAUGCUGCUCUUGCUAUCUUUGAUCACAGCUUAUGGAUCACAGGCAAGAGAUUUUGUCCAGGAAUCGUAAAAUCCAAACGCUAAAAAAACCAAAAAAAACUUUCUGAAAUGCGUGUGUCUCACCGUGAAUGCGUGAGACUUGAGAGCCCUGCUAACGUCAGCAUGCUAACAUGCUCACAAUGACAAUGCUAACAUGUCGAUAUAGCAAGUAUAAUGUUGCCAUGCAUUCACUAUCUUAAUUUAACGUGUUAGCACAUUGGUGACAUUUAGUAAUUAGCACUUAACACAACAGUUGUGUCAUGGUGGAACUAGAGGAAAAGUCAGUACAAACUUUUAUCCCAAUCCAUCCAAUAUUUGUUGAGUUGGACUGACCGACAGACAUUGCAAUGCCUAGAGCCACAACACUAGCAUGGCUAAAAACAGAGUUGUUUCUUUGGCUUAUGAAAAAUGACUGAAGAGCUUUUUGUGUCACUGGCAGAACGUACAAAUAUUACUGGUUCAAAUGUAAAUAAAAAAUAGUUUUAAGUGGAAUUGACGUGCUUUUGCUACACCUGUCUUAGCUCCAGUGGAGUUUUCAGAGGACAGGGUUUUGCCUACCUUUGCUCUCAGGACUGUGCAGCGUAAGGAGCUGGUGGCUCUCUCAUACAGUAGGUCAAACUCUAACGUCCCCAAGGAGGCUGGAAGACAGUUGAUGAAAAAGGGCCAAUUACUUUGCUGUCGAUCUCGAUGGAGGUGUCCAUGCUGCUCAUGGCUGACAGUGAGCCCCCUCCGCCCGCCACCCCUGGUAACAGUGGUGACAACAGGCUGCUGCUCCCUCCUCCACUAACGGCCCCACCUCCUUGGCCUACGCCGCCAGGGCUGAGGGCAGCGGGAGCUGCCACCUGAUUGGGUGAGAGCGGUUCAGAAAAGGAGGAAGUGGGCGAGAGGCGAGGGAAGUAGGCAGAGAUUUGACGGAUAGGGCGGAUGGGGCCCGGACAUACAUCGAUGGCCAUGUGCUCCUGGAUGGAGAUGGCUAAACUUUUUCCUUUUCGUACAGUCAUAGAGCUACAGGGACAGAGACAGAGAUGAAUGGAAGAAAAGUUAAUUCAUAUCACUUUUCAGCAAUACAACAACCAAAAUUGCCGAAGCAAGAGCGAUGACACAGAUACACAGAUACAACCUCUGCUAUUGGGCACAAAACAAGUUUCAAGUCCACACAGUCUCUGAAACUCUCCGUCUAUCAAAGAGAGGAGCGGGAAAGCUGUCACAUAGCACAGGCUGUUGAAUAGACUUACUGGUGGGGUUUUUUGGUGUUAUCUUUUUG